AUGAGGAAAAUAAGGUGUUCUAAUUUCUCAUGGGACUUAAUGAGACAUAUAUGGGGGUAAGGAGCAACUUGUUGAUGAUGCAACCUCCCCCUAGUCUUGACAGUGUGUAUAACAUCCUCCUCAAUGAUGAGAAACAAAGACAAGUCCACUCCAACUCUCAAUUCAAUCAUGAUUCCAUGUCUUUCAGUGUUAAUGCAAACAAAUAUGAAACAAUGACAAGUCCAAUCCAACUCUCAUAUCAAUCCCGAUUCCAUGUCUUUCAGUGUUAAUGCAAACAAAUAUCCUGCAUCUUCUCUUGGAAUGAACCAAGCUGCAGUACCUAAUCCUUCUUCUCUCAGACAACAUACACAAAGAGUCAGUUUUGAUCAGUCAAAGAGGACUUUAUUCUAUUAAGGAGAUCCACUAGAGAGAGGGUCUUUCAGUGUUAAUGCAAACAAAUAUCCUGCAUCUUCUCUUGGAAUGAAUCAAGCUGCAGUACCUAAUCCUUCUUCUCUCAGACAACAUACACAAAGAGUCAGUUUUGAUCAGUCAAAGGGGACUUUAUUCUGUAGAUAAUGCAAGAAAUCUGGGCACUUAAUUGAUAAGUGAUACAAGCUUUAUGGGUAUCCACAAAACCUCAAGUUUAACAAAGUAAGAAAACUGUUGCUCACUUCAAUCUUUCUGAAGGGCACACAUCAGAUCUUACUAGUAAUUCCACUGAGGGUCAGCAAUCUGCUCCAAAUGUGGAUGAACAAAGUUCUGUGGUUCCAGGUUUGAGCAUACAACAAUAUGGUCAAUUGAUGACUUUGCUUCAACAGACUCAGUUGGGAGACUCCAAUACACAAGCUCUUACUCCCAUGUGUACUGCCAACUUUGUUGGUACUAUGCUAACUGAGAAUCAUGUUUCUGCUUCCAAACUCUGUAUGCUUACUCAAAUCAACUCUAUUUCUUGGAUAAUACACUCAGGGGCUUCUGACCAUAUGACAUCUAAUAAAG
rnacentral:lncRNA from 1 species